CCCUUAGAUGUUCUGGGCCGCACGCGCGCUACACUGAUGCAUUCAACAAGCCUAGCCUUGACCGAGAGGUCCGGGUAAUCUUUGAAACUGCAUCGUGAUGGGGCUAGAUUAUUGCAAUUAUUAAUCUUCAACGAGGAAUGCCUAGUAAGCGUGAUUCAUCAAAUCGCGUUGAUUACGUCCCUGCCCUUUGUACACCCCGCCCGUCGCUCCUACCGAUUGAAUGUGUUGGUGAGGAGCUCGGAUUGGCAGCAGUUGGUGGUUCGCCACCGGCUAUUGCUGAGAAGUCCUCCAAACCGCCCCAUUUAGAGGAAGGAGAAGUCGUAACA
rnacentral:rRNA from 1 species